rnacentral:rRNA from 1 species
AGAUUGAACGCUGGCGGCAGGCCUAACACAUGCAAGUCGAGCGGCAGCACGGGUACUUGUACCUGGUGGCGAGCGGCGGACGGGUGAGUAAUGCCUAGGAAUCUGCCUGAUAGUGGGGGAUAACGUUCGGAGACGGACGCUAAUACCGCAUACGUCCUACGGGAGAAAGUGGGGGAUCUUCGGACCUCACGCUAUCAGAUGAGCCUAGGUCGGAUUAGCUAGUUGGUAGGUAAAGGCCUACCAAGGCUACGAUCCGUAACUGGUCUGAGAGGAUGAUCAGUCACACUGGAACUGAGGCACGGUCCAGACUCCGUACGGGAGCAGCAGUGGGGAAUAUUGGACAGUGGGACGAAAGCCGUGAUCCGAGCCAGUGCCGCGUGUGUGAAGAAGUCUUCGGAUUAGAAG